UUGUUGGUAAGGUAAAGGCUUACCAAGGCUUCGAUCAGUAGCUGGUCUGAGAGGACGGCCAGCCACACUGGGACUGAGACACGGCCCAGACUCCUACGGGAGGCAGCAGUGGGGAAUUUUGGACAAUGGGGGAAACCCUGAUCCAGCCAUGCCGCGUGAGUGAAGAAGGCCUUCGGGUUGUAAAGCUCUUUCAGCCGGAACGAAACGGUUACGGAUAAUACCCGUGACUACUGACGGUACCGGAAGAAGAAGCACCGGCUAACUACGUGCCAGCAGCCGCGGUAAUACGUAGGGUGCGAGCGUUAAUCGGAAUUACUGGGCGUAAAGCGUGCGCAGGUGGUUUUGUAAGUCAGAUGUGAAAGCCCCGGGCUCAACCUGGGAACUGCGUUUGAAACUACAAGACUAGAGUGUGGCAGAGGGGGGUGGAAUUCCGCAUGUAGCAGUGAAAUGCGUAGAGAUGUGGAGGAACACCGAUGGCGAAGGCAGCCCCCUGGGUUAACACUGACACUCAGGCACGAAAGCAUGGGGAGCAAACAGGAUUAGAUACCCUGGUAGUCCAUGCCCUAAACGAUGUCAACUAGUUGUCGGGCCUUUACGGGCUUGGUAACGUAGCUAACGCGUGAAGUUGACCGCCUGGGGAGUACGAUCGCAAGAUUAAAACUCAAAUGAAUUGACGGGGACCCGCACAAGCGGUGGAUUAUGUGGAUUAAUUCGAUGCAACGCGAAAAACCUUACCUACCCUUGACAUGUAUCGAAGCCCGCAGAAAAGCGGGGGUGCCCGAAAGGGAACGAUAACACAGGUGCUGCAUGGCUGUCGUCAGCUCGUGUCGUGAGAUGUUGGGUUAAGUCCCGCAACGAGCGCAACCCUUGUCAUUAAUUGCCAUCAUUUAGUUGGGCACUUUAAUGAGACUGCCGG
rnacentral:rRNA from 1 species